GAUGAACGCUGGCGGCGUGCCUAAUACAUGCAAGUCGAGCGAACGGACGAGAAGCUUGCUUCUCUGAUGUUAGCGGCGGACGGGUGAGUAACACGUGGAUAACCUACCUAUAAGACUGGGAUAACUUCGGGAAACCGUAGCUAAUACCGGAUAAUAUUUUGAACCGCAUGGUUCAAAAGUGAAAGACGGUCUUGCUGUCACUUAUAGAUGGAUCGGCGCUGCAUUAGCUAGUUGGGAAGGUAACGGCUUACCAAGGCAACGAUGCAUAGCCGACCUGAGAGGGGGAUCGGCCACACGGGAACUGAGCCACGGUCCUGGGGACUAAGGGACGCCGCAGUAGGGAACCUGCCGCAGUGGGGGGAAGCCUGGCGGAACAACGGCGAGUGAGUGAUAAAGGUGUUCGGUUCGGAAAACCCUGUUAUUAGGGAAAAACAUAUGUGUAAGUAAAUGUGCACAUCUUGACGGUACCUAGUAAGAAAGCAACGGCUAACUACGUG
rnacentral:rRNA from 1 species